rnacentral:rRNA from 1 species
AGCUCCAAUAGCGUAUAUUAAAGUUGUUGCAGUUAAAAAGCUCGUAGUUGGAUUUCUGGUGGGAGGGAUCGGUCUUGCAUUCUUUGUAAGCACUUGUAUCCUCUCCGGCCAUCCUUGGGUGGAUCUUGUCUGGCAUUAAGUUGUCAGGCAGGGGAUGCCCAUCGUUUACUGUGAAAAAAUUAGAGUGUUCAAAGCAGGCUUAUGCCAUUGAAUAUAUUAGCAUGGAAUAAUAAGAUAGGGCCCUGGUACUAUUUUGUUGGUUUGCGUACCGAGGUAAUGAUUAAUAGGGACAGUUGGGGGUAUUUGUAUUCAGUAUUCAGUGGUGAAAUACUUAGACCUACGGAAGACAAACCACUGCGAAAGCAUUUACCAAGGAUGUUU